rnacentral:rRNA from 1 species
UGGGGAAUCUUGCGCAAUGGGCGAAAGCCUGACGCAGCCAUGCCGCGUGGAUGAUGAAGGUCUUAGGAUUGUAAAAUCCUUUCACCGGUGAAGAUAAUGACUGUAGCCGGAGAAGAAGCCCCGGCUAACUUCGUGCCAGCAGCCGCGGUAAUACGAAGGGGGCUAGCGUUGCUCGGAAUUACUGGGCGUAAAGGGAGCGUAGGCGGACAUUUAAGUCAGGGGUGAAAUCCCGGAGCUCAACUCCGGAACUGCCUUUGAUACUGGGUGUCUUGAGUGUGAGAGAGGUAUGUGGAACUCCGAGUGUAGAGGUGAAAUUCGUAGAUAUUCGGAAGAACACCAGUGGCGAAGGCGACAUACUGGCUCAUUACUGACGCUGAGGCUCGAAAGCGUGGGGAGCAAACAGG